rnacentral:rRNA from 1 species
GACGAACGCUGGCGGCGUGCUUAACACAUGCAAGUCGAACGGAAAGGCCCUGCUUUUGUGGGGUGCUCGAGUGGCGAACGGGUGAGUAACACGUGAGUAACCUGCCCUUGUCUUUGGGAUAACUUCAGGUAACUGGGGCUCUUAACGGAUAGGAGCUCCUGCUGCAUGGUGGGGGUUGGAAAGUUUCGGCGGUUGGGGAUGGACUCGCGGCUUAUCAGCUUGUUGGUGGGGUAGUGGCUUACCAAGGCUUUGACGGGUAGCCGGCCUGGGCGGGGGACCGGCCACAUGGGGACUAGGAGAGGGCCAAGAACCCAACGGGAGGCAGCGGGGGGAAAUAUUGCACAAUGGGCCGAAGCCUGUUCCGGAAACCCCGGGUGCGGAAUGACGGCCUUCGGGUGGAAAACCGUUUUCGCCGGUAACGAGGCGUUAGUGACGGUAAUGGGUAAAGAAGCACCGGCUAACUACGUG